CUUACUAUCCAAUUGUUUUUUAAAAGGAAUUUUUUUUUUUUUUGAUCGAAUUAAAAUUCAGAUUUUUUGUUCCUGGGGGCCCUUUAGGGAUUCCCGGAGAUUCGUGGAAACUCGAGUUCCGUGGUGAACCUGCGGAGGGAUCAUUACCGAGUUUACAACUCCCAAACCCCUGUGAACAUACCUUUAUGUUGCCUCGGCGGAUCAGCCCGCGCCCCGUAAAACGGGACGGCCCGCCGCAGGAACCACAAAACUCUGAUUUUAGUGUAACUUCUGAGUCUAAAAAACAAAUAAAUCAAAACUUUCAACAACGGAUCUCUUGGUUCUGGCAUCGAUGAAGAACGCAGCAAAAUGCGAUAAGUAAUGUGAAUUGCAGAAUUCAGUGAAUCAUCGAAUCUUUGAACGCACAUUGCGCCCGCCAGUAUUCUGGCGGGCAUGCCUGUUCGAGCGUCAUUUCAACCCUCAAGCCCCCGGGUUUGGUGUUGGGGAUCGGGCUGUACUCCAGCCCGGCCCCGAAAUCUAGUGGCGGUCUCGCUGCAGCCUCCAUUGCGUAGUAGCUAACACCUCGCAACUGGAACGCGGCGCGGCCAAGCCGUUAAACCCCCAACUUCNGAAUGUGACCUCGGAUC
rnacentral:rRNA from 1 species